rnacentral:lncRNA from 1 species
AGACCUUCAUCGUGUGACUUAUUAAUUUGAUACCCCUAUAGUUGUUGAAGCACUGGAUGUCCCCUUUGUUCUUGUACAAGGGCACCACUGUACUCGACCUCCACUCAUCCGGCAUCCUUUUGGUCCUGAAGAUCGCAUUGAACAACCUGGAGAGCCACUCCAUUCCAAAUUUGUCAAUGCUAAUCAUGUGCUGAAAUUGAGAUUAAUCAUGUCUGAGUUGAAAGCUUGAUCUGAAUUUGCUCCAUACCCAUGCCUGACUACCACUUGAACAAUGAAUUGUUUUCAUAAAAGCUUAUUGAGGUUUAAAAUUGUUUAGAUAGAUGCAUAGAACUAUAGCAUAUUAAAGCAUAAACGCCAAACAGUUACUUGUUGAGUUAAUU